CAGUAGCCGCGGGAAUACCGAGGAUGCAAGCGUUAUCCGGAAUGAUUGGGCGUAAAGCGUCUGUAGGUGGCUUUUCAAGUCCGCCGUCAAAUCCCAGGGCUCAACCCUGGACAGGCGGUGGAAACUACCAAGCUAGAGUACGGUAGGGGCAGAGGGAAUUUCCGGUGGAGCGGUGAAAUGCGUUGAGAUCGAAAAGAACACCAACGACGAAAGCACUCUGCUGGGUCGACACUGACACUGAGAGACGAAAGCUAGGGGAGCAAAUGGGAUUAGAUACCCCAGUAGUCCCUGUCUCUUAUAC
rnacentral:rRNA from 1 species